rnacentral:rRNA from 1 species
CACGGGGGGAGCAAGCGUUGUUCGGAUUCAUUGGGCGUAAAGGGCUCGUAGGUGGCUUUGUAAGUCGGAGGUGAAAUCCCACGGCUCAACCGUGGACACGCCUUCGAAACUGUGAAGCUUGAGGCUGGGAGAGGAAAUCGGAAUUCCUGGUGUAGCGGUGAAAUGCGUAGAUAUCAGGAGGAACACCGGUGGUGUAGACGGCUCACUGGACCGUAACUGACGCUGAGACACGAAAGCGUGGGUAGCAAACAGG